rnacentral:lncRNA from 1 species
UGCUUAAUACAGUAGAGCUGCCAGCAAUUAGUUCUCAAACGAAAACACUUUUAUUGAGGAAGGGAUAACUCAAUUGGGGAAACAAGGCUGAUAAUUGUGUUCAUAACAUUGAUGAACCCUUGGAAUUAAGAAACUGUACAUAGCAUCAUGUUUUUGAAUUCUUCAAAAUCAAUCAUGCCAUCCAAGUUGGUGUCAUAGAAGCAAAUCAUGUUCCUGCAAUCUUUGCCUUGCUUUUCAUCCCAUAAACCAAGUCUUACCAACACGCUUUGAAGCUCCUCACAUGAAAUGAAGCCAUCACCAUUCAAGUCAAACACCUUGAAUGCCUUGGCAAGGUCACUGUCUCCAUGAUCAUCAUCAUCAUCAUCAUCACCGCCACCAUGGACCAUCAUUAUUUCUUCUUCCUCCUCCUCAUCAUCAAUGGCUGCCUCAAUCUUGAUGUUGUGGUUGGAGAUGGAAUCAUAGAAGAACAAGAAUUCUUCAAAGCCAAGACAAGGUUUUCCCACUAAGGACUCCAAUUCUUCAAGGCUAAACUGGACUUCGAUUCUCUCAAGCAACCAAUUAAGCUCCUCCAGGCUAACCAAGCCAUCCCCAUUCUUGUCAAGCUUCUCGAAAAUCCGUCGCAAGUCGUUCUUGCUAAGGGGAGACAUGUUGUCAAAGGGAAUAUCACCAUUAACAUGAAAUGCUUGAAGCUUGGUACUUCUGUGUAUCAACCAGUUAUGAUGAAAGCAGAGUGACGGGUGUUUUGCUAUUUAUAAUGCAAAUUAUUGGGUAACGAAGCUUGCAAGAAGUUUCCUAUGGAAAAUUAUGGAAGGAAAGAUAGAUAUAUGUGUAUAUAUAUAUAUUUCCUGAUAAAUUGUAAUUUCAUUUUUCUUUUAAAUGUGGUCUUCAUUCAUCUAAGUCCUUUUCAUUGUCUUUAUUUUGCUGCUGGCUGAAACACUCGUCAUUAAUGGGAGAAAAUUCUAGUCCCAAAUUUUGGAUCUUGUACAAAUAUCAUAUAUUUGUUUUUAGGGUAAACUACAAAAAUAAUCACUUAUGUUUGAAAUGUUACGUUUUAGUCACUUAUAUUAUCGUUUUGUUACGAAGUGGUCACUCUAUCGUUAAGUUCCAUUAUCUCCCUAACGGCAAUACUACAUGGCAAUCCAAAUAGGUUUUAAAUACCAACUUGAAUAUCUAACUGGGAUGACAAUAGGUUUUUAAUUAAAUAAAUUUAAUUAAUUAAAAAUUUUAAAUUAUUUAUACCUUGAUCUGGAAAAGAAUAAAUGUUCGUCUCUUUUUUUUUUUAGUUUUCUUUUCUGUUUUGACUAAAAAAACUAUUCUCAUCCUAAUUGGACAUCUAAGUUGGUAUUUAAAACCCAUUUGGACUGCCACAUAAGAUUGUCUUUAGGGAGGUAAUGGAGCUUAACGGCAGAGUGACUAAAACGUAACAUUUCAAACAUAAAUGACUAAAAUGUAAUUUGAAGUAAACAAAAAUGACUAUUUUUAUAGUUUACCCUUAUUUUUAUACUAGAAAUUCAUUUUAAAAUAAAAUUGUUGGAGAUAAGUUUGCUGUAUAUUACCUUUUGAGUUUAACAUAUUUGGAAAUAAAAAUCAUAUCGAAUCAUAUAAGGAAGUAAAAAUCUUUAUUUCGUAUCCUUAUUAAGGCUAGAAAUGAGAAAAUAAUAUUUAUUUUAUCUAUCUAUACCAACUAUAUAUUUACAAUUUAGUUGAGUUGUUGUCGCACAUCAAUGGGGAAGUAGAUUUUAGGAUAUAAUCAACUUUUAGGGAAGUGUUCGGUCUUUGUUACUGAGCUAUGGGGAAUUUUGGAUGGUUUGCUCUUGCUUCAGAAGCAAGGACAUAAUAGGUCUUCAUCCAAUUAGAUAAUUUCGAGGUAGGCAAAGUUUUUUGCGAUCGUCAUUUAGUUGGAGCAAAUAUUUUACUUGUUAGAAGAAUCUGACAAAAUUUAUGUUAUGAAGACAAGUGAUUCGUGCGGUAUUCUUCUAGAGAGAAUAAUCAUGCAGUGGAUGCAUUAGCUAAAAUGGCUUUUGCGAAUGAGGACGAGUUGACCUAAAUUUAACAACAUAAUUUAAAAAAUGGACUAAAAAAUGUCACAUUGACAAUAUUAGCUUAAAUUCAAGUUAAAAAAUGGCAUUGUAAUGAACCUGAAUUUAACAACAUAAUUUUAAAAGUGCUAACAGUUGACCUAAAUUUUGAAAUUUGAAAAGUAGAUGAACUGAGUUCUUAGAAAUAAAAGUACAAGCACUAAAUUUCAAAUUUACAAAGAGUGUCGGACUUGUGGCAUAUUUUAACCUUAAUAUUAUCAAGUUUUCCUUUUUCCAUAUACUCUUUAAAGUAUAAAUCAUCCUAAUAUUACCUAUGAAUGAAGUUAUGAAGUAUUCAACAUGCAGUACGAUCUAACAUUAUUUUUUAUGCUAUAUUGAAGUGAUGUUAUUAAUAUGAGAAAUCUUUUUUAGAAUAAUAAAUGUCUUCUUAAUCUUAUUUCGAAGCUUUAUGUCUCAAAUUAAAGAGUUUGCAAGUCAUUUCCGGUGCUUGCGUCUGGCUCUAUUAUCUCAAAUGGUAUCAUAUACCAUAAUAUGGUGCAACAAAACUUUUUGUAUUUACAUAACUAGCAUCUACUAUAUAAUAUUUAAGUUCAUGAUAUAAACAAUCUGUAGCAUUGAUUAUAAAAACUUGUAUAAGUAUACUAAAAAAAAUAAAAAACACUUGUAUAAAUUUAAUUUGAAAAAAGACUUAUACUAGAUUAUAACCUUUUUUUAUAAUAUAUAAAUUAGGUUAGAAAUAAUAUAAAUUUUAUAAUAUAUUACUUUUAUAAAGGGUACAAUAACUUCUAUAACACUUCUUAUAAAUAAUAUAAUUUUUCAUCGUAACUUUAGAAUGUUAAUUUUUUAUUAAUAAGUAUAUUAUUUUUAAUAAUAUAUAACAUAGACAUGUAAAUAAGUUAUAUCCUUUCUUUUUUUUUGUCAUAACUUUUUUUUUCUUUUAUAACACGUAAAUUAUUUUCUAUAAUAUACUUUUUGGCAAUAACUUUAAAUUUUUUUUCAGAUUUAAAUAAUUUUUUUUGCUAUAGUAUUAUAAAAUGCACACAAACUAUUGUUUAUAAUAAUUUUUUAGGAAUUAUAAUAUAACUUUAAAAAUUUUGAUCAUAACCAUCUCGAACACUUAUAUGAGUUUAUGUUUAUAAUAUAAUUUUUAUAACUUAAACUUGUAUAAAAAUAAUUUUUUUAAAGUUAAAUCAUGUAUAUGUGUUUGGAAAGCCAUAGGGUAAAAGGAUUUGGGUGUAAUUACCCAUGUAAUUAUUCCAAAUUUCACCUUUCUCCUAAGAAUUGGAAAAUGUAAUUAGGGUGCUUCAAUUACACCAAAUUCAACGAGAUCCACUAAUUACAAUGAUUAUCCAAACAUGUGACUUCCGUGUAGUUACAAACAAUUACAUUCAAAUUCAAUUGCUAGGUAGCUUUUCGAACACUACCUAAAUCUCAAUUCAGUUGCGAAAUCAUUAAAAGUGUAUUUCUUUUUCAAAACAAAAAAAUUAUUAGGAGGAUAUUUAUGUCUUAUAUUUUCAUGAAUCUAGAAAAAGACAUACACAUGAUAAGAAUGAUAAGAUAUAAAUCUAAGACAUCAUAAGUUUUACUAUCUCAAUUUUACCAUUUCAAUUAAAAUUAUAUUUGAGUUUUAAUCAAUUUUUUAAAAUAAAAUUGCUAUUAUGUGGUAAUAACAAAAGUAAUAUUAAGUAAAUAUUAAUUAUUGUGAUAAUAUAUCAAUGUUGAAUUAAUCUAUAUAUAAUACAUAAAACCAAUAAUUUUUGAACUAACAAAAAUAUUACUAAAUUCACAUUAAAAAUAAUUUAUUAAAAUGUUACUAGUUAAUAAUUUUAUGGAAAUAACCAAAACAGAAAUGAUAGAAUACAUGUUUUGUCAUAUAUAUAUAUAUAAAAGGUAACAUUGUCAUUUACGUUAACAAUUUAACUCAAAACAAAACUGAAUUUUUUUAUAACUUGAUGACUAAACUAGAAAUAUGGUAAUAAUUGAAUCACUAAUGAAAAAUUUACCCUUAUAUUUAUUGAUUGAUUGGAGGAGAGAUAAGUAUGGUUGAAUAUUGACUCUCUGACAACAACGUUCAGCAUUAUAUGUGGUACAAAUAAUGUACCAAAAAGGAUAUUUUGUCUUCAACAUGUUGUAACGUUUAUUAGAUUAACAGUAAUGGCAAAUUGAAGGGUGAAUGUAAGGUGCUACUAAUAAAAUGCAUAUUAUUUGUAUAAAAAAUAUUAAAUACCGACUGGGUUUAAAUUUAGUUGUAUGAGUAUUAUUGUCAAUAUAAAAUCAUGUAGCUUUAAAUGUAUUAAAGAGUAUUAUCUUCCUAUUUAUCAAUUACAGAAAAAUUAUAAAUAAUUUUAAACAUUAUAUAAAAAAACAAAUAUAAUUAAAAUUUAUAAUAAAAUUACUAAAAAUAUAUUUUAAAAAAAUCAAAUACAUAUUAUUUGUUCAGAGAAAUAUUGGUGAAAAAUAUUGCAAUAUGAUUGGUUUAUAGGUUCUAAGAUGAAACACGUGUCUUCAACAAAAGGAAAAGUUUGAAACACGUGUCUACACCACGCAACAUUUAAUUAUUCCGGCUAUGGUCGGUUUGUCAUCUAUUAAUAUGAUGGAAACAUCAAAUUCCACACAGAAAAAUAAAAAUAAAAAUAGAAAACGAACAUUUUUUAAAAAAAAAAUCUAUUAUAAUAAAAACAAGUGUGAUUUCUUCAACCAAAGUUGAUAUUUUAUAAUUUUAUCUUUCAAUUGUAUUAAAAAUUGAAAAUAAAUAAAUAAGAUAUAUAUCAAAAUUUUAAUUAUGUUAUGUACUAAAUAAUUACCCAAAAUAUUUUAUCUGAAUAAACAUAUUUAAAUUUAAUACUUUUUUACUUAAACUUUUUUUUAUUUAAUUUGUGUGUACUUCACGCAUUUUUUUAAUUUGACAAUUAUUUUUUUUAAUUUAGUACAUGAACUUAUCAUUUUUUCUUAAUUUGAUACUUAAGUUUUUUUUUGUUCAAUUUGGUACCUAAGCUUAUCAAAUGUUAUAUAAACUACAUUAACAAUGUUUUUUUGCACAAAGUAGCAAAAAUAAAAAAAUUAUGAUCCACAUGUGACAGAAAAGAUGGAUUUUCUUUUUUAUGUUUUAAAUAUUCAAUUGCUUUUAGUUUAACUAAUUUAUUUUAAUUUAAUUUAACAUAAUGAUUUUUCCGGAGGGAAGGGUUUAAAACUCUUGUCUUCUUCUCAACAUCCAUUUAUUAAGCACAGCUCAAAGAAAAAAAUUUAAACACAAAUUUUCUUUAGUACUGAUGAUAUUUUUGUAGAAUUGAGGGCUUCGUGAAGAUCAAGUCGUGCUUUAAGCAUGAGUCCCCUCUUGAAUCGCCCCUGCCACUAACGGUCAAAGUAAUAUAAACUCAUAUGAAAAGUAAAAUUUGAGCAUAUUGUUUAGUGAAAUAGAGGAAACUCCAAAUAAAUAUAUUCAUUCCUACCGUUAAUGGUUAAAUUAACUAUUUUAAUGAUGAAAGGACUUGAUUGAUAUAAUAUUGAUGGUUUUGAAGUGUAAUUAGAAUGUUUUGAAGUUUAGGGGCCAAUUUAAAAUGAGAGUCAUAGUUGGAGAUGUCUAGUGCAAUUAAAUCAAAGUAUUUAUAAGUAUGCUCAUAUUUGUAAAAUGCCUAAGGUAAAACGGUGAAAUUAAAAUUAGUGGUGAGAUAUAUAUUUAGAUUCAAUCAAAACGGUGGCGAGAAAUAAUUUAGAGUAAAAAAAUAAAAUAACUAUUAAAAACAUUAAAUUGAAAUGUAUAUAAUAAAAAAAAUAAUUUAUUUUUUAUUUGUAAAAUUCAUAAAUAAUUAAAUUAUAUAUUGAAUAAUUAUUUUAUUAAUAUUUUUUAUUAUUCAUGUAAUAUUUAUUUUUUAUUAUUUAUACGUUUAUAAUAAAAAUACAUAUUCAAUUAUUAUAUAUUUUUUGAAGUUAUAAGAAAAUAAAUUUUAUAUAUUUAUUAUGUAAAGAAAUAUUAUAUAUUUAUUUCUUAAUUAAUACAUAAACCAAUUUUUUUUUAAAAAACCUAAAAAUUCUAUGAAAACAAAAAGUCAAAUAAAGGACCAACAUGUAAAGAGCAAUUUUGGUUGGGCUGCUCUUUUUCUGAUUGUAGCCUUAACCCCUGGUUAUAAAUUGGAUGGACAGUGCUUGUCUAUGGAUACUAACCCAUAGUAAUUGUUAUUUGGAAUUUUUCUGAUCAUUUUAUAAUUUUUAAAAGUUAAAUUAUCAAAACAUAAAUUUAUUAAUAAAAUAGUGACUUUGGGUAUAAUUUUCUGUAUAAUUUAAUUUUCAUGUCAUAUGCAUUACAUAAUAUAUAAAAGAAAAGAAAAAGUAAUAUAUUAAAAACUUGAAAAUGAGUUAAGAUAGGGUCGGGUCAAGUUUUAGUUCAAAGUAUUAGAGUUCGAGUUCCAUUCAAAUUUAAUAGAGAUUUAAUAUUUAUUUUACCUGAACUCAUUUUCUGAAUCUAAUAUUUUUAUCUUAAACUUCUCAAAUUUUAGAUAAACUUUCAAACUUGAACGAAUAUCUCGAUCCAUAGAAUAAUUAUAUCAAAAACCAUUGAGCUCGAACUAAGAAACACUUUUACAAGCUUGUUUCUAAUAUUCUUCAUAAAAAUUAAAAAAAUAUAUAAAAUUUUAAUUGCAACCAACAAUCAACACAAACAACAUAUGCAUUGUAAAUAUCAAACUAGAUAAAAAAAUAUUACAAGGUUGUAGUAGGAUCUGAAAAACACCAUAGAUAUAAAAUUUUAUUUUUUGCUUAAUACAGCUUAUAUUGCGGAAGGGAUAACUCAAUUGGGGACUGAUAAUUGUGAUCAUGACAUUGAUGAAACCCUUGGAAUUAAGAAACGGUACGUAGCAUCAUGUUUUUGAAUUCUUCAAAAUCAAUCAUGCCAUCCAAGUUGGUGUCAUAGAAGCAAAUCAUGUUCCUGCAAUCUUUGCCUUUCUUUUCAUCCCAUAAGCCAAGUCUUACCAACACGCUUUGAAGCUCCUCACAUGAAAUGAAGCCAUCACCAUUCAAGUCAAACGCCUUGAAUGCCUUGGCAAGGUCACAGUCUCCAUGACCACCAUCAUCAUCAUCACCGCCACCAUGAACCAUCAUUAUUUCUUCUUCCUCCUCAUCAUCAAUGGCUGCCUCAAUCUUGGUGCUGUGGUUGGAGAUGGAAUCAUAGAAGAACAAGAAUUCUUCAAAGCCAAGACAAGGUUUUCCCACUAAGGACUCCAAUUCUUCAAGGCUAAACUGGACUCCGAUUCUCUCAAGCAACCAAUUAAGCUCCUUCAGGCUAACCAAGCCAUCCCCAUUCUUGUCAAGCUUCUCGAAAAUCCGUCGCAAGUCGUUCUUGCUAAGGGGAGACAUGUUGUCAAAGGGAAUAUCACCAUUAAUAUGAAAUGCUUGAAGCUUGGUAUUUCUGU